UGGUGGAGUGAUUUGUCUGGUUAAUUCCGUUAACGAACGAGACCUCGAUCUGCUAAAUAGACACAUGGAUUCUUUGGAUCUACUGUGCGCUUCUUAGAGAGACUAUCGGUUAGUAGCCGAAGGAGGUUCGAGGCUAUAACA
rnacentral:rRNA from 1 species